rnacentral:rRNA from 1 species
AACGUAGGAGACAAACGUUAUCCGGAGUUACUGGGCGUAAAGGGCGUGUAGGUGGUUUCGUAAGUCUGGCGUGAAAUUUCUCGGCUUAACCGAGGCAGGUCGUCGGAUACUGCGAGGCUAGAGGACGGUAGAGGCGUGUGGAAUUCCGGGUGUAGUGGUGAAAUGCGUAGAUAUCUGGAGGAACACCGGUGGCGAAGGCGGCAUUCUGGACCAAUACUGACGCUGAGGAGCGAAAGCCAGGGGAGCAAACGGG